GAUGAACGCUGACAGAAUGCUUAACACAUGCAAGUCCACUUGAACUUCGGUUUGGGUGGCGGACGGGUGAGUAACGCGUAAAGAACUUGCCUCACAGUUAGGGACAACAUUUGGAAACGAAUGCUAAUACCUGAUAUUAUGAUUUUAGGGCAUCCUAGAAUUAUGAAAGCUAUAUGCGCUGUGAGAGAGCUUUGCGUCCCAUUAGCUAGUUGGAGAGGUAACGGCUCACCAAGGCGAUGAUGGGUAGCCGGCCUGAGAGGGUGAACGGCCACAAGGGGACGGAGACACGGCCCUUACUCCUACGGGAGGCAGCAGUGGGGAAUAUUGGACAAUGGACCAAGAGUCUGAUCCAGCAAUUCUGUGUGAACGAUGAAGUUUUUCGGAAUGUAAAGUGCUUUCAGUUGGGAAGAAAAAAAUGACGGUACCAACAGAAGAAGUGACGGCUAAAUACGUG
rnacentral:rRNA from 1 species